CCUACGGGGGACUGCAGUGGGGAAUAUUGGACAAUGGGGGGAACCCUGAUCCAGCGACGCCGCGUGAGUGAAGAAGUAUUUCGGUAUGUAAAGCUCUAUCAGCAGGGAAGAAAGAAAUGACGGUACCUGACUAAGAAGCCCCGGCUAACUACGUGCCAGCAGCCGCGGUAAUACGUAGGGGGCAAGCGUUAUCCGGAUUUACUGGGUGUAAAGGGAGCGUAGGCGGCGAUGCAAGUCUGAAGUGAAAGGCGGGGGCCCAACCUCCGGACUGCUUUGGAAACUGUAUGGCUGGAGUGCAGGGGAGGUAAGUGGAAUGCCUAGUGUAGCGGUGAAAUGCGUAGAUAUUAGGAAGAACACCAGUGGCGAAGGCGGCUUACUGGACUGUAACUGACGUUGAGGCUCGAAAGCGUGGGGAGCAAACAGGAUUAGAUACUCCAGUAGUC
rnacentral:rRNA from 1 species